rnacentral:rRNA from 1 species
CCGGCGGGUUUGGUGUGGUGUCCUAUUUGGGGAGGGCCUGCUUUGUCGGGGGAGAGCCAAGCCGACAGGUGUGGGUGGGUGCGCGGGCAGGGGUUGGGCAAGCCGCUUUACGGCGGCGGCGAGAGGCAGAGCGAGGGGAGCGGCGUCGGGGAGAGGGAGGAGGGCGCGGUGCGGUCCCGGCGGGUGAGGGUGGGGGAGCGGAACCGGGUCGGGGAGAGGUGGUCCCGCGGCGGGAGGAGGCGGACGAGGCAGCACGGGCGCGCGGUGAGGCUGAUGAAGCUGGGGGCCCGGGGCGGCAGCGUCGCGCUGCGCAUGCCCGUCGGCGGCGACCUCUCCCUCGGCGGCCACGGCCCGCCGGUCCGGCCCUCCCACAAGCGGUCGAUGUCGUAGAUGUUCCCGUUCCGGCGCGACCGGAAGCUGGGGUCCGGCGGCGUCAAGCACGGCGAGCUUAGUCCCCGCAUGUUCCACCGGUUCCUCCCCAAGCACGACGAGGUCAAGCGGGGGCGGCACCCCGGUGCCGUCAUACUAACCUGAGCGUUCGUCCACAAGAGUAAUAGACAGACCCUCUACCCUUGGAACGAAUGAGAACCAGAUUGUCUAAGCACGCUCAAGAAAGUACUGGGAAAGUUCCCCUCCUCGCUACUUCCAUUUCACGCGUUCCAAGAUUUCCAACUCGGUUGUGGUCUACCGUUGCCAGCGAAAAAGUUGGAGUCACAAGUUUUGGCAGAAAACUUGCAACUACUCUUGUAAAUGUAGGGAUAUUGGUUUCCUCUUAUACGCCAGUAACAUAGCUGAAAGUUAAUGUAGUAUGGCGUGUAGUACCCGACCUCGUGCAAAUGUUUAAGAUAGUUCGGGCUCCUCAGCGUCGGUAUGUUAUCCGGCGUCAGGAGAGGGCUUAACCUCACCGCUUCCACUUCUUACUGUCGUGAGAGCCUCCCUCUACCGUCCUUCUUACUAUGAAAACCGCCAGAAGGAAGGUCUUUUCUUUAAAAACCACCACCACAAACCUUUCAUAAAACCACGUAUUAAACCGACCAUUAAAGACCAAAUCAAUAAUCCUUCAAUUACAAAAACCAAGACGGUAUAAGCAAACCAAAGAGUAAUGUCGACCGCCCUCAACACAAUCAGUUUAUGGAUCAGUAGUGAAGAAUUACGUCCUUACCGAAAUGUACUCUGAAUAAUAACGUCGUUAAAAACGGACUCCAUAACGUCAUGGGGCAUACCUAGUACCUAUGGACGGAGCCUAUGGGCUUCGAGAUUUGGGACUUGACAAAACGUAAACGUUAGGUUCAACAAGUAAACGAUUAAGACUUAAGUUACAAUAUAUGACUUUGAGCUCAGUGUAUAAGCGUUGUAAAGAACGCUGGAAUAACUCAUUCGAGACACGAUGGGCCGAGAGUC